AAUGAACGCUGGCGGUAUGCUUAAUACAUGCAAGUCGAACGAAUAUUAUUGAAGCUUGCUUUGAUAAUAUUAGUGGCAAACGGGUGAGUAACACGUGGGAAUCUACCCAUCAGUACGGAAUAACAUUUGGAAACAAAUGCUAAUACCGUAUAUUCUCUACGGAGGAAAGAUUUAUCGCUGAUGGAUGAGCCCGCGCAAGAUUAGGUAGUUGGUGAGAUAAAAGCUCACCAAGCCGACGAUCUUUAGCUGGUCUGAGAGGAUGAUCAGCCACACUGGGACUGAGACACGGCCCAGACUCCUACGGGAGGCAGCAGUAGGGAAUAUUGGACAAUGGGCGAAAGCCUGAUCCAGCAAUACCGCGUGAAUGAUGAAGGCCUUAGGGUUGUAAAGUUCUUUUAAUAGGGAAGAUAAUGACGGUACCUAUAGAAAAAGCCCCGGCUAACUCCG
rnacentral:rRNA from 1 species